CAGAGGGUGCAAACGUUGUUCGGAAUUACUGGGCGUAAAGCGAGUGUAGGCGGUCCGCUAAGUCGGGUGUGAAAGCCCUGGGCUCAACCCAGGAAGUGCACUCGAAACUGGCGGGCUAGAGUAUCGGAGAGGUUGGUGGAAUUCUCGGUGUAGAGGUGAAAUUCGUAGAUAUCGAGAGGAACACCGGUGGCGAAGGCGGCCAACUGGACGAAUACUGACGCUGAGACUCGAAAGCGUGGGGAGCAAACAGGAUUAGAUACCCUGGUAGUCCACGCCGUAAACGAUGGGUGCUAGGUGCUGCGGGCUUUGACUCCUGCGGUGCCGUAGCUAACGCAUUAAGCACCCCGCCUGGGAAGUACGGCCGCAAGGCUA
rnacentral:rRNA from 1 species